rnacentral:rRNA from 1 species
UUCAUUUUGGGAAAUAAUAAAAUGUAUAAUCUGCUCAAUGAUUUUUUUUUUAAAUUGCUGUGGUAUUUUGACUAUACGAAGGUAUUGAAAUAAGAUUUUAAAUGAGUGCUAAGAGAAUGAUUAAACAAUUAAAAGCUUUCUUUAAUUGAAUAAUUGAAUUUAAUUUUUUAGUGCAAAAGCAAAAAUAAAAAUUAGGGACAAGAAGACCCUAUGAAUUUUUUAUUAAAUUUUAUAAAACUUUAUAUAAAAUUUAAUUUAAUUGGGGUGAUGGAAAAAGAAUAAAUAUCUUUUUUUUUAAAAAAAAUUGGUUCCGUUUUUAGCGAUUAAAUGAAAAAAAUACUCUAGGGAUAACAGCGUAAUAAUUUUGGAUAGUUCAUAUAGAUAAAAUAGUUUGCGACCUCGAUGUUGGAUUAGGAUUCUUUUUUGGUGAAAAAGUUAAAAAAAGAAGUUUGUUCAACUUAUAAUUUCCUACAU